GGCUCAAUGGUCUAGCGGUAUGAUUCUCGCUUUGGGCAAUCUGAACUUGCGAGAGGUCCCGGGUUCAAUCCCCGGUUGAGCCC